GACGAACGCUGGCGGCACGCUUAACGCAUGCAAGUCGAACGAGAGAAGAGAAGCUUGCUUUUCUGAUCUAGUGGCGGACGGGUGAGUAACACGUGAGCAAUCUGCCUUUCAGAGGGGGAUACCGAUUGGAAACGAUCGUUAAUACCGCAUAACAUAAUUGAACCGCAUGAUUUGAUUAUCAAAGAUUUAUCGCUGAAAGAUGAGCUCGCGUCUGAUUAGCUAGUUGGUAAGGUAACGGCUUACCAAGGCGACGAUCAGUAGCCGGACUGAGAGGUUGAUCGGCCACAUUGGGACUGAGACACGGCCCAGACUCCUACGGGAGGCAGCAGUGGGGAAUAUUGCACAAUGGAGGAAACUCUGAUGCAGCGAUGCCGCGUGAGGGAAGAAGGUUUUAGGAUUGUAAACCUCUGUCUUCAGGGACGAAAAAAGACGGUACCUGAGGAGGAAGCGCCGGCUAACUACGUG
rnacentral:rRNA from 1 species